rnacentral:rRNA from 1 species
UAUGGCUCAGGAUGAACGCUGGCGGCGUGCCUAACACAUGCAAGUCGAACGAAGCUUCUUUCUGAUUUUUCGGAAUGAUGAAAAGGAUGACUGAGUGGCGGACGGGUGAGUAACGCGUGGAUAACCUGCCCUUUGCAGGGGGAUAACAGCCGGAAACGGCUGCUAAUACCGCAUAAGCGCACAGCACCGCAUGGUGCAGUGUGAAAAACUCCGGUGGCAAAGGAUGGAUCCGCGUCUGAUUAGCUAGUUGGCGGGGUAACAGCCCACCAAGGCGACGAUCAGUAGCCGGCCUGAGAGGGUGAACGGCCACAUUGGGACUGAGACACGGCCCAGACUCCUACGGGAGGCAGCAGUGGGGAAUAUUGCACAAUGGGGGAAACCCUGAUGCAAGCAACGCCGCGUGAGCGAAGAAGUAUUUCGGUAUGUAAAGCUCUAUCAGCAGGGAAGAAAAUGACGGUACCUGACUAAGAAGCUCCGGCUAAAUACGUGCCAGCAGCCGC